UCUCAUAAUCACAUGAUAUUUGAUUAAUUUUAAUUUUUUUACUUUUACAAUAUUUUUGUGAGACGUCUCCGACACCGACAUUGUGUUUUUGUACAAUUACAAAAUACCAUUUGCGAUUUGAAUAAGCUUCUUAAUCGGUUGACGUAUUAUUUUAAUGCGUCCCCGAUUGCGUUCAGCCGUCUGUCGCCUUCAAUCGCAUUGCGACGCGUAAACGUCGUACAACGGGCCGUUUUUAUAUUGUCGUGCGUCCGAGUGUGCCACCACUACUUCAUGGAGGACAUCUAGUUGGUAUUAAACGCUUCAGUACGUUUUUAAUAUUUUGAUCAUUGUUGUCCGACUUAUUCGCCGGUUGUUCCAUCGCCGAAACAGUUUACACGUGUCGUCAGUAGGGUCGACAAAACAGUUUUCCCGCAAAAAAAAACCGAAACAUUUGACAUUUUUAAUUUAUUAUAUAGGUAUUCGUCACUUUUUGACGGCAAUCGUUACUUUUUGACUAAUUCGCCGUAAAAAACUGAUUUUCCGCGUUUUUAGGCGUUCAAAUCGUACAAGAAGCUUCCGAAAACGAUAUAUCGUGCAAGAGGGACCGUCGGCCAAGGUUUAUAUCUAAAAAUAAUUGUGAAAAUCCAAAUAUUAAAUUGAGGAUGUGUGAUUUUUGGCAUUAUGCGUCGUCCUAAUCUAGUGCAUAGAUAUUAUUGAGUUCGUUUUGACAACGAAAUUGAUGUGCCACCGAUUAUUAAUACUCAGCUGACGUACAAACGUUCGGUUUAUUGGUUAUGGAAAACCAAUGCAAACACCAAAGUGUAUAUUAUAUUCGAUUAUUCGUAGACCGAAGAUUAAAAUGGAAUGGACUGGAAACAAGAGCCUUUUCACUAAAGGCUGGUAAAAGCAAAAUAUAUAUUUUGAAAAAUUAGCAUGAUUACUAAUGUAAGUGCUGCAUCUAUUGGUUUCAAGAGCAAUGUUGAUUUAAUCUUUAAAGAAUCUUUGUCUAAAUAACCCUAGACUUUAAUAUUAAAUACAUAUUUAUUUGUAGUCGGCAAUGGAUGGUAAUAGUUAAAAUCCAUUAAAUAAUUCAUUAUUCAAUUUUAUUUGUUAAUAAUGUUUUCGUCUUUAGUAAAAAAAUAAAUAAAUAGUAUUUGCU